AGAACUUAGCAGAGAUGCUUUGGUGCCUUCGGGAACUCUGAGACAGGUGCUGCAUGGCUGUCGUCAGCUCGUGUUGUGAAAUGUUGGGUUAAGUCCCGCAACGAGCGCAACCCUUAUCCUUUGUUGCCAGCGGUUAGGCCGGGAACUCAAAGGAGACUGCCAGUGAUAAACUGGGAGGAAGGUGGGGAUGACGUCAAGUCAUCAUGGCCCUUACGAGUAGGGCUACACACGUGCUACAAUGGCGCAUACAAAGAGAAGCGACCUCGCGAGAGCAAGCGGACCUCAUAAAGUGCGUCGUAGUCCGGAUUGGAGUCUGCAACUCGACUCCAUGAAGUCGGAAUCGCUAGUAAUCGUGGAUCAGAAUGCCACGGUGAAUACGUUCCCGGGCCUUGUACACACCGCCCGUCACACCAUGGGAGUGGGUUGCAAAAGAAGUAGGUAGCUUAACCUUCGGGAGGGCGCUUACCACUUUGUGAUUCAUGACUGGGGUGAAGUCGUAACAAGGUAAGCGUAGUGCU
rnacentral:rRNA from 1 species